UAUGUGAUCGUCUCUCGCAUAUCAAUAAGCGGAGGAAAAGAAACUAACAAGGAUCCCCCUAGUAACGGCGAGUGAAGCGGGAAGAGCUCAAAUUUGAAAUCUUAAAGGGUUUCCCUUUACGAAUUGUAGUUUAAAGAAGUGUUUUCUGUUGAGGUUUCGGUAAAAGUUCUUUGGAAUAGGACAUCAUAGAGGGUGAGAAUCCCGUAUUUGACCUUUACUUUCAACUUUGUGAUACACUUUCAAAGAGUCGGAUUGUUUGGGAAUGCAGUCCAAAAUGGGUGGUAAAUUUCAUCUAAAGCUAAAUAUUGGCGAGAGACCGAUAGCGAACAAGUACCGUGAGGGAAAGAUGAAAAGAACUUUGAAAAGAGAGUUAAACAGUACGUGAAAUUGUCAAAAGGGAAGCGUUUGACACCAGUGUUGUUUUUCUGAAAAUCAAUUAAAGAACUGUUUAUGCUAAGCUGUUUAGACUUUAUCAGCUAACUGUUUAGUUUUGAGCUUUUCUUUAAUGCACUUUUCAGUUAACAAGUCAACAUCAAUUUCUUUUGCUGUAAAAAAGCUUGAGGAAGGUGGCUUGAGAUUCGUCUUAAGUGUUUAUAGCCUCUUGCCUAUGCAGUCGGAGAGAUUGAGGUCUGCAGCGUAGAUCCUUCGGGGCUAAAUGCAUUUGUGCUAAGUUAUAGCAUUUUAUAGACAACUUGUUGACUAUGAUUUGUCUUGUAGCUUACUCGCUUAUGUUAUUUUACCUACGCUUAGGAUGUUGACACACGCGCGUGCUCG
rnacentral:rRNA from 1 species